GAAUUUCGGUCGCGUCGAAUGCAAUUCAAACAAUAGAUGAUGCAUGAAGCUUAAUGAGGUUUAUCAUCUCAUUAUAUCUAUAUUGUCUUAAUUGCAUUCGACGCGACCGAAAUUU